GGGUUGGUAGUCGAAUGGCUACCGCUUCUGCUUCAUAAGCAGAAGAUCAUGGGUUCAAUCCCAAGCCAGUCCC
rnacentral:tRNA from 1 species